rnacentral:rRNA from 1 species
CAUUAAAGAAUCGCCCCGUUUUUUGAAAUGGGUUCUAUUCCCAAACCGUGUAUACAUACCUUUGUUGCUUUGGCAGACCGCCUUUUAGGCGUCGGCUCCGGCUGACUUGUGCCUGCCAGAGGACCCAAACUCUUUUGUUUUGUGAUGUCUGAGUACUAUAUAAUAGUUAAAACUUUCAACAACGGAUCUCUUGGUUCUGGCAUCGAUGAAGAACGCAGCGAAAUGCGAUAAGUAAUGUGAAUUGCAGAAUUCAGUGAAUCAUCGAAUCUUUGAACGCACAUUGCGCCCCUUGGUAUUCCGAGGGGCAUGCCUGUUCGAGCGUCAUUAUAACCACUCAAGCCUCGGCUUGGUCUUGGGGUUCGCGGUCUCGCGGCCCUUAAAAUCAGUGGCGGUGCCGUCUGGCUCUAAGCGUAGUAAUUUUCUCGCUAUAGGGUCCAGGCGACCACCUGCCAUAACCCCCAUUCUUUACGGUG